UUUGGUUUUUUAAUAAUUUUUUUAUAUUGCAAUUACAGUUGGAGAAAGCCAUAUGAGAAAAAGCAUCCAACUACAGGCAUCCUUUGCUUUUUGGAAGUUGCUUUAUGCUACUGAACUUUUUAAGGAAGAAACUUUUUAAUUGAGGGAGCAUUAUAGAGGCAGCAGCACCCCAAGCAGCAAGAGUGGCCCCACCGAGCUCCUUCCCAGAAGCUACACUCAGCAUCUCUGCAUCAAGCCCCAGGCCUGGGAACUGUGUCUAUGAGCAUCUGUGCUGUCUCUGGGCUUAGUUUGUGCAUCUGUGAGCAAGAUGUGUCUGUCCUAAGGUCUGAAGUUCUAAAGCAAAAGCAUACCUUCUAUCCAUCAAUCCUGUUGAAAAUACGCAUCUGCUGAAAAUACUGAUUCUAUUCCUAUUGCCUACAUCAUACAGGCAAAUUUUACCGAAAACACAU